rnacentral:rRNA from 1 species
UUUAUUUUGAAAUUAUUUUUUAUUGUUGAAAAAAUUAAUAAUAAUUUAUUGUUAAUAAAAAUUAAAAUUUAUAAUAUUUUAUUUUUAUUUUUUAGUUUUAAAUAAAAAAAAUAAAAUUUAUAUAUAUAAAAAUUUUGUUAUAAAUUAUAAUAGUUUAUUUAUUUGUUUUUUAUAAUAAAUAAUAGGAUUUUUUUUUAUUAUUUUAUAAAAAAAAAUAAUUUAAUUAUAAUUAUUAAAAGUAAUUUUGUUAUUUAGAAUAAUAUAUUAAUAUAAAUAACAAAAAUAUUAAAUAUUUUUUAAAUUUUUUGGGGAUUUAAGUUAUAAUUUUUUGUGUCUGCUCAGUGAAUUUAAAUAGCACUUUUAGCGUGAUUAGUCAAAGGUAGCAAGGUAAUUUGUUUUUUUAUUGGAUUCUGGUAUGAACGGUUUUUUGGUAUUUUUUCUAUUAGUAAUAAAAAGAAUUUAAUAAUUAUUUAAAAAUUAAUAAUUAUUAUAAAACUAAGAAAAGUCUUUAGAAAUUAAUUUUUUUUUAAUUUAAUUAGGGUAAUUAAAUAAUUAUUGUUUUUUUCUUUGAAAUAUUGAAAAAUUUCUCUAGAGUUAACAGGAAUAAAAAUUUAAUUGUUAUUUUUACAUCGAUGUUGUUUUAUUUUUUAUUUAAAAUUCAGAAAAAUUAAAUUACAAGACUGUUCUUCUAAAAAAAAUACGUGAGAUUAGUUUAAUUCGUUGUAAAAUAGAGUUGUUUAUCUAGUUUAUAUUUUGAGAAAAUAAACAGUACGAAAGGAUAAUUAUUUAUAAUUAAAUUUUUUA